rnacentral:rRNA from 1 species
CCCUUAGAUGUUCUGGGCCGCACACGCGCUACACUGAAGGAGGCAGCGUGUACUCCUGGAUCGAAAGAUUUGGGUAACCCGCGAAUCUCCUUCGUGCUAGGGAUUGAGGUUUGCAAUUAUCCUUCAUGAACGAGGAAUUCCCAGUAAGUGCAAGUCAUAAGCUUGCGCUGACUACGUCCCUGCCCUUUGUACACACCGCCCGUCGCUACUACCGAUUGAAUGAUUUAGUGAGGACUUCGGACUGGGACCGAUGCGGCUUUCGGGCUGCGUCGGUAUUCUGGAAAGAUGUCCAAACUGUAUCAUUUAGAGGAAGUAAAUGUCGUAACA